UACAGAGGGUGCAAACGUUGCUCGGAAUCAUUGGGCGUAAAGCGCGUGUAGGCGGCACGACAAGUCAGCUGUGAAAGCCCUCGGCUCAACCGAGGAAGUGCAGCUGAAACUGUCGAGCUAGAGUGCUGAAGAGGGUGGCGGAAUGCGCAGUGUAGAGGUGAAAUUCGUAGAUAUUGCGUAGAACACCAGUGGCGAAGGCGGCCACCUGGGAAGCUACUGACGCUAAGGCGCGAAAGCGUGGGGAGCGAACAGG
rnacentral:rRNA from 1 species